rnacentral:rRNA from 1 species
UACGAAGGGGGCUAGCGUUGUUCGGAAUUACUGGGCGUAAAGCGCACGUAGGCGGAUAUUUAAGUCAGGGGUGAAAUCCCAGAGCUCAACUCUGGAACUGCCUCUGAUACUGGGUAUCUUGAGUAUGGAAGAGGUGAGUGGAAUUGCGAGUGUAGAGGUGAAAUUCGUAGAUAUUCGCAGGAACACCAGUGGCGAAGGCGGCUCACUGGUCCAUAGCUGACGCUGAGGUGCGAAAGCGUGGGGAGCAAACAGG